CAACCCCUCUUUCCCACCGCGUCAUUAGUCCCGAAGCAGUUGUUAUUGGAGUGUGUUGCAGUGUUCAAAUUGUGGUUGUGAGUAGCUGUUUCCAAGUAGGUUUCUGAAAUUCGUCCAUGUGGUGAUUUGCUUCCGGAAAAGAGCAAGCAAGUGGGGAAUCCGACUGGGUCAGAAGGUGCCAGAGAUAGAAGCCCUUUUUGGUUUGUAAAUGUUUAGAUUAAAUUAAGUUCUUGUAUAUAUAAAAUUAAUUAAUAAAAUAAUUGAUUUUUUUUGUGAAUAUUGACUUCUUGUCCCAAAUGUACCCGGUACUAAUUUGUUUUAACUUUACAUGUGAGCAAGAGGGUCCUGAACAAGGUGGUCACCCUACCAUGUUGAUUGAGAACUGUAUUUUGUUUCCCUUAUGUUUGUCGAAUGCACCAAGGUUGUAGCUGCUCUAAAUUCUGCACUGCUUGCAUAUGAGGAGUUCGUGGGUUCUCGUCUUUGCUGGAAAAAUGGCAAUUAGGAUGAGCUGCCUCGACAAAAUGGUUCCAAAUGGUAUUGACAAGUUCAGUCGACAGCUUGGCCAAUACCAUCAAAACUAUUUGCAGCUCGAAAAACACAGCUAACCCGACCUUUUCAAGGAAGGAGACGCGGUGUUCAGAAUACUCCCCAUUUCAAUAACCAUUUAAUCUUAUCAUACUGGCUGGCGAAGUAUAAGAAACUGAUGCCAACAGCGGUAUCCACUUUUGUUGUCCUGUGUACAUCAUUUUGGCGGAGAGUGGAUGAGCUAUUUGCCUUCCAUCGAGAUCGUUAUUUAUUCCAAACCAUUAGCAAAUUCAAGAUUCCACUAUCUCUAGCGACUACAAUGUGGAAAAACUUUCCCUUGGUAAAAUAUGCAGCAAACACUUCAACCGUAAGAACGAUAUCUUUUGAAGAUAGGGUUGAAUGUUGGCCAAACGGAGUCCUGCUGGCUCAGCUGCAUAUCAGACAAGAAGAAAUAUAGCUGAACUUGUCUUUAGAGCCUUAUAUCAUGCGGUGCCAGCCAUUCUCAUUAUGAUUAUUGGAAUGUUUACCUACCCCCUUGCGUUUUUUAUCGAAGCUACAGGAAUAAUUCGUCUUAGCGCCUUAAAACAACCAUUUCUUGACAACUAAAACGUGGUCGGCAUUUGUUGGGGCAAACUCGUCGUUGAACGUCGUUAUGUGGUGUUUCUUCAGUCUUCGAUCCUUGGUCAACAAAGCAGAUUCUUGGUGGCGACGCCGAGUGGAGUGCGGAACACAAGGUUACGUUCACUUUUGGUUUUGGAUGCGCUGUAAAAUGUUUUAGGUUGGCGUUUCUUUAAUUAUUUGAAUUACAUAGGCAUAAAAUCAAUAAUAAAUGCCCAUAUGGAAGAUUUUGCAGAUCAACAUGCAAGAAAGAAAAAAGAAAUGAGUCCCAUAUUCGCGCUCCAUAUUCCAAAAAUUUCGUUGUUUGCCUAAAUUUCAGAAAAUGUAAUUCUAACCAAAAUCACUACAACUACAAGACAAAGUCCACUUAUCAAAUCUUGUCAAAUUGUAUUUAUUAUUGGUGAGUAUGCCGAACUUGCGCUACUAGUCGUUUUAAGCAGAAACGCUGUAUCGACAAUACUAAAGAAGAAAAACACAAACAGAAAGGUGGGGGCUACCAAUGACCGAACGUAGCAUUAAAUAAUAAAUUCAAUUCAAUUUGGUUUACGCUAGGUACAUUCAUAUUGGUACAAUUUGCUUAAAAAUAAAUUAUAUCUGCUGAAACAAGAUAUGAGGAGCCAAGGAAACACAAGAAUGAUGAAGAUUAAAGUAAUUUUCGAAACAUUUAUUCAAUUCAGCAAAUAUUCGCAGUAAGUAAAGUAUUGAGAUUGUAUUUGUAAGUUUUAAAGUAUAGAGAACUGUGAUUGGAGCCCAGGAAAUUUUGUUCACUAAAUUCAAACGAGUAAAUGUUGUGGGGUUUGUUUAACAGACAGAGAGUUUUUGAUUUGGCUCUUUGGAUAUUACUUGUCUAUUGUCGAAACUAUCACGGCGUUUGAAAGGGAGAUCUCGUGUCGCAAAGAAGAAUUUAGUGGUAUUCCUCCUAAAUUUUCCAUCGAGAUACUAAGUUUUUGUUCCAGAUUUGAAGAUAGCAACAAGAUAAGAAAAAUGUCCUUUAAAAAUAUGUAUAAAAAAAUUAAGCUCAGAAGAUUGAGAUUUUCUGCAUCACUAAGUAACAUUCCAGGGAAUCUAGUUAUUGCGAAAAGCAGAAGUUUUUCUCUAUUGGGAUAAAAAAACCGAGUGGCCCUUUCGUUAAUAACGUAUUAAAUUGUUCUUGGACAUCGUUUUUAAGAUUAUUUUCGUAGGAUGAUUCAACCACUGCCGAGCGAAAGAAUAUUGCAUACUCCCCCAGUCAGGGUUACUAACCAUAUAAAUAAAAUUAUCCAGCCUUUGGAAUGUUAUUUGUGAUAUUUUUUAUGGACUGAAGAUACUAAAUGCAAGUAGAUACAAACAACAGCGGGUCUCUGUUUAUUAUGGGCACACGAGGUUCUUGUCCAGGACUGAAUAAAAUGGUUAUUAUUUUCGUACCAAGUAAAAAUGUAAGUGUGGGGAUGUUAAAUUUAUAAACAUCCCAUUUGCUCCUGGUAUAAUGAAGUUAAUAUUGCAAGUAAUCUUUUUAUAGGCUAAUGCAUACUUCGUAUUUGAAUUUAAUAUUUGACACACUCAACAAAAAGUUCUACUUCAUUAUUGCCACACACAUAUUCAACAAGACUGUUUUGUGUACGAAUGAUUUUUAAAGCUGCCGAUUAACCUGUUCUGUCUGUGGGUGGGAUAUUGUCUGUUCUAGAUUUAGCUUUUUAAUUGUAACACUGAGACUAAUCACCCGGUACAUGGGACUGUAAAUUUAUCAAAUAGACGUUUCGUGCAAACAGUUCUGACAAUUUAGCAAAUGAAUCAAAAUCAGAGCAGCAAACAUUUCGUUUUUUAGAGUUUAAUUUGCUGCUAAAACAUGCAGAUAAUCAGGAAAAGAAUGCCAGCAUCUCAAGAACACGUUUUGAUACAAUAAAAUCAAGAGUCCGGACGGAUCGACUUCAAUGACAUUUCUUGCAGUAUUUAUAAAAUUAUAGACUAUACAGCAUUUUUUGUUUGUUCAUGUACACCGAAGUAAUAACAAUUGUGGAAAGAAAAAGUACGUUCGAGGCACUUGCAUAGAUUUUAUUGCUGAUAAUUUAUCUUAACUUGGAGUUUCUUUUGGAUCUGAAUUUACUAAAGCGCAAAAAAGUACAAAAGGAAGAGUUUUUGCCAUGUUGAGCAGCAAGUAAUGGAAAAUUCGCUUUGGCGCAGACACUAAGAUCUUGUGUUUUAGAAUGUUUAAAGCAACAGCUAGGAAACACUGAACAAACCCGCAUCGUUGUUGUAUUCUUGUUUCACGCCAGUUCCCGAUGAGAGUUUUUUUAUUUGGACACGAACGUGUGCUCUACUUCCUAUGGAUUUAGAACUGCAUGCGGGUUGGAUUUCCCAAAACCGCUUCAUAAAACUAAUUUACAAAUUUGUUUUGAAUAUGCGGUUAAAAAAUUUAUUUAAGGUAUAGGUACAAAAUGUGUGGACCAUUUGUGUGCGUCGUAGAAUAAUUGGUCUGCAGUGUGACGGAGACGCCAAUUUGACCUAUUUAUUGAGCAAGGCGGGCACAUCAUCUGGGUGGGUACUUAUUGUGUGUCUCACUGCACACAGCAGAACUUUUAUUAAACCUCGCUUGCCAGCGCGACGAUUGGAAAGGUUUUGAGUAAGAUAUUUAGGAUAGUUCUCAAUCUUUUGGCUAGACCAACCCACCAAAGCAAAAAGUUAAAGAUAUCGUAUCAUGAAAGUCAAGUACAUCAGGAGGUAUGUUUUUUUCCAAAUUGCAUGAUUGUACAUAUAGCACAAAUUUCAGCAUGGAACCAUAUUGCAACAACAUUUGAAUUAUACAAAUAGCGGCUGCUGAAAAAAAUUAUUCCAUAUGGAACCCUCUAUUAAAAUUGCUUGAUACCUAUAAUAUUAAAUAAAUAAAUCGGCAUUAUAAAAUAUUUAAAUAGCAUCUGUAACGGCUACAGCAUUGAUAUUGAAUAAAUUUUGAAAAUACACUCGUACAAUUCGGAAGAAGCUCACCAACCCAACAAGGAGGACAGCGGCAGUUUCAGGAAAGAGAAGCAAGUAUGAACAAACGACAGUGUGAGAAGAAGCGGGGCAAAUUUGACGAAAAGAAAAGCAAAAAUCACCGACGAGGCAACUUGGGGACAAGAGAUAGCCAAUGUUGCAGCUUCCAACUGACUGCACAACACAGAGGCGACUGAUGAAUCAAAUCAGUUUAUGAUCGGGACUUUGGAACGCAGAGGUUUACUAAAAGAAAAUUACGGUGGCUGCAGCAAGAGAGGCAAAAAGGACCACAAACGAGCCAACUCAGUAGAAAACAAUAUCACCGGUGUUGCAGCUUGAAUAAGACGGCACUACUUUGAACAACUUCUACAGAAAGAAAAUUCAAUAAAAGUUUCCGAUGAAGAGGACAAGCGAGGCCAUCCUACAGAUUAAGAAGGCUACAUAACAGAAGAUAAAAAGUAGGUACGAAAAGAAAACUAUUCAGCGACAGGAAACCACUGAACAGCAGUUGAAGAUGAAGAGGAGCAACGGGGAAAAUCAAAAGAAGAAGAGGUCAUCAAAACGAAUUAAGUAAUUACAAAUUGCGGAGCUCCGGCGUGCAGCGUGCACUUUUGACAGCAGUUUGCAGAAAGAAGUGUGGCAACUCAGGAGAAGAGGAAGCGAUCAUCAAAAUUGUUCCCCCCAACAGCACGGCACCUCCUUUGUCGGCAUUUACGGAAAGAAGAAGACAUUUUCAGGUGAAAAGGACCAGCGAGGCAAUCCUGGAGAUCACCAAUGAUAGGAAAGAUGGCUACCGAACAGAAGACCGACGAAAAGAAAUUAUUGAGUGACAGAAAAGCUACUGAGCCGCAGCAGAAGAUCAAGAGGAGCAUCGGGACAAAUGGGGAGAGAAAAAGAUCAUCAAGACGAAUUAAGAGAUCAGAAAUUGUGUAGCUCCGGCGUGCAGGGCAACCACCUUUGACAGCAGUUUGCGCACACAAGACUCAAGAACGGUUUCAGAUGGGGGCGACCGAUUAGGCAAAUCAGGAGAAACUCAAAAAGGGAACGAAUUGAUCGGAGACCAUCGACAUGGUGAUUUUGGUCGGGACCAACGAAAAGAAGACUAUUGACUAAGAUCAAAACGAAUUAAGAAAUUACAAAUUGUGGAUCUCCGGCGCGCAGCGUGCACUUUUGACAGCAGUUUGCAAAAAGAAAUGUGGCAACUCGGGAGAAGAGGUAGAGAUCAUCAAAGUUGGUCCCCCAACAGCACGGCACCUCCUUUGUCGGCAUUUACGGAAAGAAGACGACAUUUUCAGGUGAAGAGGACUAGUGAGGCAAUCCUGGAGCUCACUGAGAUGAAAGAAGGCUACUGAAUAGAACAACUGAGCAACAGCUGAAGAUAAAGAGGAGUAGCGGGACAAUUGAAAAGACUGCGCAAAGAAGACUUAAGAACGGUUUCAGAUGGGGGCGAUCGACUAGGCAAAUCAGGAGAAACUCACCAAGAGAAUGAAUUGAACGGAGACCAUCGACACGGUGAUUGGAUCGCGACGUAAGCAACUUCAGAAAAGGAGAUUCAACAACAGUUCAGAUGGAGACGACCUAUGAGUCUAAUCAGAAGGUCACCCGGACGAAUAAAGAGAAGAUUGGCAAUUUUGGAACGUGAUGAUGAUGACGGCCAGGGCUUGAAACCAAUACAACAAGGAGGCAACUCUGGAAAAGAGAUAAUCACGAACGUGGCAGAAGACCAACGUCUUUUGGCAGCAUUUACGGAAAAGAAACUAUUCAAUACUAGAUACAGAAAAUAACGGCCAGAAGAAGAAAAGAUCUUCAGUUUUGUAGCUCCGACAGGAUGGCACCUCCUUUCGCAGCAUUUACGGAAAGAAGACUAUUUAAGACAUUUUCAGGUGAAGAAGACUACCGAGGCAUUCCUGGAGAUCACCAAUGAUUGGAAACAGGGCUACCGCACAGAAGACCGACGAAAAGAAACCAUUGAGCCACAGAAAAGCUACUGAGCAGCAGCAAAAAAUAAAGAGGAGCAUCGGGACAAAUCGGCCGAAAAAAGAUCAUCAAGGCGAAUUAAGAGAUCAGAAAUUGUGUAGCUCCGGAGUGCAGGGCAACCACCUUUGACAGCAGUUUGCGCAAACAAGACUCGAGAACGGUUUGAGAUGGGGGCGACCGACUAGGCAAUCAGGAGAAACUCACCAAGGGAACGAAUUGAUCGGAGACCAUCGACAUGGUGAUUUGGUCGGGACGUAUGCAACUUCAGAAAAGGAGAUUCAACAACAGUUCAGAUGGAGACGGCCAACGAGUCUAAUCAGAACAUCACCAGGACGAAUAAAGAGAAGAUGGGCAAUUUCGGAACGUGAUGAUGAUGACGGCCAGGGUUUGAAACCAAUACAACAAGGAGGCAACUCUGGAAAAGAGAUAAUCGCGAACGUGGCAGAACAGCAACGUCUUUUGGCAGCAUUUACGGAAAAGAAACUAUUCAAUACUAGGUUCAGAAAAUAUCAACCAGAAGAAGAAAAGAUCUUCAGUUUUGUAGCUCCGACAGGAUGCCACCUCCUUUGGCAGCAUUUACGGAAAGAAGACUAGUUAGCGACAUUUUCAGGUGAAGAGGACUACCGAGGCAUUUCUGGAGAUCACCCACGAUUGGAAACAGGGCUACCGAACAGAAGACCGACGAAAAGAAACUAUUGAGCGACAGAAAAGCUACUGAGCGGCAGCAAAAAAUAAAGAGGAGCAUCGGGACAAAUCGGCCGAAAAAAGAUCAUCAAGGCGAAUUAAGAGAUCAGAAAUUAUGUAGCUCCGGCGUGCAGCGCAACCACCUUUGACAGCAGUUUGCACAAACAAGACUCGAGAACGGUUUCAGAUGGGGACAACCGACUAGGCAAAUCAUGAGAAACUCACCAAGGGAACGAAUGGAUCGGAGACAUAAUGACUUAAUCGCAACAGGAGCAGCUUACAAAAAAAAAGACCAACAACAGUUCAAAUGGAGACCACCGACGAGGCUAAUCAGGAGAUCGCCGGGACGAAUAAAGAGAAGAUCGGCCAUUUUGGAACGUAACGAUGAUGACGCCCAGAGUUUGAAACCAGUCCACCAAGGAGGCAUCUCUGGGAAGGAGAUAAUCGCGAACGCGACAGAACAGCAACAUCUUUUGGCAGCAUUUACGGAAAAGAAACUAUUCAAUUACUAGUUUCAGAAAAUAACGACCAGAAGAAGAAAAGAUGGCAACAACAUCGCGAACGUGACAGAACAACAACCUCCUUUGGUAGCAUUUACGAAAAGGAAAACUUGGCAAUAAUAGCGUCAGAAAACAAUGACCAGGAGAAGAGAAAAUCAUCAAUUUUGUAGCGCCGACAGGAUGCCACCUCCUUUCGCAGCAUUUACGGAAAGAAGACUAACGACUUUUUCAGUUGAAGAGGACCAGCGCGGCAAUCCUGGGAAUUACCAACGAGAAGAAAGGCUACCGAACAGAAGAUAAAAACGAACGACGAAAAGAAGACUAGCAGCAGCUGAAGAUCCAGAGGAGCAUCGGGACAUAUCGGGAGAAAAAAAAUCGUCAAGGCGAAUUAAGAGAGCAGAAAUUCUAUGCCUCCGGCGCGCAGGCAACCACCUUUGACGGCAUUUUGCGCAAACAAGACUCGAGAACGGGUUCAUUUUCAGGUGAAAGAGGAGGAGCAGCGAGGCAAUCGUAGAGGUCAGCAACAAGAGGAAAGAAGGCUACUAAACAAGAUGAAAAGGACCAACGAAAAGAAAACUAUUGAGUGACAGAAAGCCACCGCACAGCAGUUGAAAAUGAGGGGCAGCGGGGAAAAUCGAGAGAAAAGAUCAAAACGAAUUAAGAAAUUACAAAUUGUGGAUCUCCGGCGCCCAGCGUGCACUUUUGACAGCAGUUUGCAAAAAGAAAUGUGGCAACUCGGGAGAAGAGGUAGAGAUCAUCAAAAUUGUUCCCCCCAACAGCACGGCACCUCCUUUGUCGGCAUUUACGGAAAGAAGACGACAUUUUCAGGUGAAGAGGACCAGUGAGGCAAUCCUGGAGCUCACUGAGAUGAAAGAAGGCUACUGAAUAGAACAACUGAGCAACAGCUGAAGAUAAAGAGGAGUAGCGGGACAAUUGAAAAGACUGCGCAAAGAAGAUUUAAGAACGGUUUCAGAUGGGGGCGAUCGACUAGGCAAAUUAGUUGAAACUCACCAAGAAAAUGAUUUGAACGGAGACCAUCGACACGGUGAUUGGAUCGCGACGUAAGCAACUUCAGAAAAGGAGAUUCAACGACAGUUCAGAUGGAAACGACCGACGAGUCUAAUCAGAAGAUCACUGGGACGAAUAAAGAGAAGGUCGCCAAUUUUGGAACGUGAUGGUAUGGAAUUACCUUUGACAGAAGUAUAUUAAAAAAAUUUAUUUACUUUUUCUUUUACUUAAUAAUUAUAAUUAAUGAUUUUUUUUUAAAUUGCUCAACCACAGCCAGAGUUUGAAACCAAUUCAACAAGAAGGCAACUCUGGGAAAGAGAUAAUCGCGAACGUGACAGAACAGCAACGUAUUUUGGCAGCAUUUACGGAAAAAAGACUAUUUAACGACAUUUUCAGGCGAAGAGGACUACCGAGGCAUUCCUGGAGAUCACCAAUGAUAGGAAAGAUGGCUACCGAACAGAAGACCGACGAAAAGAAACUAGUGAGCGACAGAAAAACUGCUGAGCAACAGUAGAAGUUCAAGAGGAGCAUCGGGACAAAUGGGCCGAAAAAAGAUCAUCAAGGCGAAUUAAAAGAUCAGAAAGAAAUUGUGUAGCUCCGGCGUGCAGGGCAACCACCUUUGACAGCAGUUUGCACAAACAAGACUCGAGAAUGGUUUCAGAUGGGGGCGACCGACUAGGCAAAUCAGGAGAAACUGAGCAAGGGAACGAAUGGAUCUGAUCGCAACAGAAGCAGCUUACAAAAAGGAGACUCAGCAGUUAAGAUGGAGACCACCGACGAGGCUCAUCAGGAGAUCACCGGGACGAAUAAAGAGAAGAACGGCAAUUUUGGAAUGUGAUGAUGAUGACGACCAGAGUUCGAAACCAGUACACUAAGGAGACAACUCUGGGAAAGACAUAAUCGCGCACGUGACAAAACAGGAACCUCUUUUGGCAGCAUUUACGGAAAGGAAACUGUUCAAUAAUAGUUUCAGAAAACAACGACAGAAGAGAAGAUCGUCAAUGUGAUAAUUUCAACAGGAUGGCACACCUCCUUCGCGAGGAUUUACGGAAAGAAGACUAUUUAACAACAUUUUCAGAUGAAGAGGACCAGUGAGGCAAUCCUGAAGAUCACAAACGAGAGGAAAGAAAGCUACCGAAUUGAAGAUAAGUUCCGACGGAAAGAAGACUAUUAAGCUAUAGAAAAGCUACUGAGCCGCAGCUGAAGAUCAAGAGAAGGGUCGGAACAAAUAGGGAAAAGAGAAGAUCAUUAAGACGAAUUAAGAGAUCAUAAAUUGUAUAGCUGCAACGCAACCACCUUUGACAGCAGCAAAGAAGACUCACGGACGGUUUCAGAUCGGGGCGACCGACAAAUCAGGAGAAACUCACCAAGGGAAUGAAUUGAUCGGAGACCAACGACAUGGUAGCUAAGUCGGGACAGGAGCAACUUGCAAAAAGGAGAUUCAGCAACAGUUCAGAUGGAGACGACUGAAGAGUUAAAUCCGAAUAUCACCCGGACGAGUAAAUAAUGGAAUAUGAUGGUAUGAAAUUACUUUUGACAGAAGUUUGUUACAAAUUUUUAUUUAAUUCGUCUUUUAUUUGAAGAUGACUACGAUAUUUUAAAACCAGAUCACCAGCGAGGCACCUCUGGCAACAACAUAAUCGCGAACGUGACGGAACAACAACCUCCUUUGGUAGCAUUUACGAAAAGGAAAACUAUUCAAUAAUAGCUUCAGAAAACAAUGACCAGGAGAAGAGAGAAUCAUCAAUGUUGUAGCUCCGACAGGACCGCACCUCCUUUGACUGCAUUUAAGGAAAGAAGACUAUUUAACGACAUUUUCAGGUGAAAGAGGACCAGCGAGGCAAGAGGAAAGAAGGCUACUAAAGAUGAAAAGGACCAACAAAAAGAAGACUAUUGAGCGACAGAAAAUUACUGAGCAGCAGCUGAAGAUCCAGAGGGGAGCAGCGGGACAAAUCGGGAAAGGAAAAGAUCAUCAAGACGAAUUAAGAGAUCAUAAAUUGUAGUAGUUUAUGCAAAGAAGGAGCAAGACCGGUUUCAGAUGGAGACAACCGACUCGGAAACUCGCCAACGGAACGAAUUGAUUGGAGACUAUCGACUUGGUGGCUUGAUCAGGCUUACAAAACGGACGCUCAACAGUUCAGAUGGAGAUGACCGACGAAUUACGAGAAUAUCGGCAAUUUUGGAAUGUGAUGAUGAGAACGGCCAGAAUUUAAAAUCAGAUCGUCAGCGAGACAAUUUUGGGAAAGAGAUGAUCACAAUCAGGAACCUCCUUUGACAGCAUUUACGGAGAGAAGAUUAUUCAACGAAAUUUUCACGUGAGAGGAGUAGCGAUGCAAUCCAAAUCCGGGCAGUACAAAUCUGAAGAUUUAGAUCACCAAGAAGAGAAAUUAAGAUAUCUCCAAUUUUGAAUCUUGGAUAGGACUAAAAAAAAUCAUCACCUUUGCUGGCAAUUCGCGAAAAAAAAAGGCUCUGGUCAAGAUAACCGGACAGGCGUCUUAGGAGAAGAGAUCACCAAUGUUGCAGCUUCGACCUGAAGACACGGCAUGGAGACCACCGCCGAAUGAAAUCAGUAGAUCACCGGUACAAAUUAAAAGAAAUCAGAUUACCAACGAGGCAACUUUUGAGAAAGAAAUAUCACCAGUAUUGCAACUCUGAUAGAAUGGCACGAAAGCUAUUUAAUGACAGUUCCAGGCAAAGAGAACUAGCGAGACAAUAGACUUCACCAAAGGGGAAAGAAGGGAGGCUACUGUGCAGAAGAUGAAUAGGAUCAACGAAAAGAAGACCGACUAUUCAACGACAUUUUCAGAUGAAGACUACCAAUAUUGCAAUCUAGUUCACCAACGAGAAAAAAGAAGGUUACUAAACGGAAAAAAAUCACCACCUUUGGCGGGAAAUUAAUUGAAAAAGGACUAUCCAAAAUGACUCGUUAGAUGAGAUCACAAACGUUGCAGCUUCGACCUGACGGACGAAUUAAGUCAGUUAAUCAUUGAAACGAACUAAGCUGAGAUCACCAAUUUUGGAAAGCGGAUGAUACAACAUAUAUGACGGGAGUUGUGUACUGAAUAAAAUGGAAGAAAAUUGUUCAACAACAGUUUCAGAGUAUGACAGCUGGAAAGGCAAAAGAAAUCACAAAUGAGAGUUUUAUAGUUGGCAGUUGGGAUAGGACGGCACCAACAUUGACAGAAUUUUACAGCAACAAGACUAUUCCAUGACAGUUUCAGGCGAAGAGAACCCGCGUGACAAUCGAGGAGACCACCUACGAAAGGAAAGAAGACUACCACUGAACAGGAGAUGAACAAGACCAACGAGCUGCAGUUUCAGAUAAAGUUACCCUAAGCUAAGCAAUCCAUGAGAACAUGCACUUAACAACGGAACAGAUUGGCCGGAGAUCAUCGACAAGGCAGCUUGGUUGGGAGAGAAGCAGUUCAUAGAAAGGUUAUUCAACAACAGUUAAGAUGGAGACGACCGACAAGUCAAAUCAAAAGAUCAUCGGGAUGAAUUAAGAAAAUAUCAUCAAAUUUGGAAGAAGAUUAUAUGAAAUUACCUUUGAUAGCAGUUUAUUCAAAGACAAUUGCGCAACAACGUUUAUCAGAUGAUGACGACCCUAGUUUAAAAUCAGGUCGCCAAUGCGAGGAAACGUUACUUUUCAACAAUAGAAGAAGACGCGCGAUGCAUAUCUGAAGAUUUAGAACAUGAAGGAUACAAAUUAAAAUGUCUCCAAUUUUGAAUCAUGGACCGAACUUGGCCCCCCCUCUGCUCUGGUGGUUCACAACAAAAAGUACUGUCAAUCACAUUCUCCGGUGAAUACAACUGAUAAAUCGAAAGACGAAUAUUGUAGUUUUGACAUGACGCCACGACACAAGGCACCAACGAAUAAAAUCGGUCGAUCAACAGAAUCAAUUAAGAAUUUACCAAUUUGGGAACCUUUCACAGCAGUCUAAUAUAUCAUGGGAGCCAAAUCAGAUUAUCAAGAAGGCAACAUCAGUAUCAGGUGGAGAGAGUCAGCGAGAUAAUCCAGGACAUCACAGACAAAAGGAAAUAAGGCGGCUACUGUAUAGAAUAUGAGGAGGAUCAACAAAAAGAUGAUUGUUCAAUCACAGUUUAAGAUGAAGACUACCAGCAAUGCAAUCCAGAAGAUCACCAAUGAGUGGAAAGAAGCCUACUGUACCAAAGAUAGAGUAUCGAGGGAAAGAAGACUAUUCAACGACCGCUUCAGAUGAAGACUACCAGCAAGGCAAUCCAGUAGAUCACCAACAAGAGGAAAGAAGACUACAGAACAGCAGUUUAAGGUCAAGAGCAUCAGCGAUGCAAAUCAGGAAAAGAGAUCACAAAUUGUAGAGCUCCGGUGUGCAGGAUGAAAGUGACUGGUCAAACCAGGAAAAACUCAGCAAGAGAACGAAAUGGCCCGAGACAAUUGACAUGCCAGCUUGGUCGGGACAGAUGCAGCUCACAGAAAGGAGACUCCUCAACAGUUCAAAUGAAGAAGACCGACGAGUGAAAUGCGACGAUCACUGGGACGAAUGAAAAAAACUAAACAAAUUUGGAACGGGAUGAGGAUGACGACCAGAGCCCAACAUGACGGGAUAUUUAGCAUCAAUUUUUCAAAACAAGCUAGCAGUUUUAGAAGAGCCAAAGAGGCACCAAUGUGGCAACUCGGUAGAAGAGAUCAUCAAUGUCCUAGCUGUAAUAGGACUCCACGUUCUUUGGCAGCAUUUACGGAAAUUUGACUAUGCAACGACAUUUUCGGACGAAGAGAUUACCAACGAGAAGUUAGUGAACACUAGUGGAAGAUGAUACAGAUGGGAUAUGCAAAUCUGAAGAAGAGCAGUAGUAGAUGAGCAAGAAGACAAAUUAAGACAUGUCCAAUUUUGAAUCUGCUUGCAGUUCACGAAAACAGGAUUAUCAAGAACGUUCUCAGGUGAAGACGAACAGAGAGACUACUCAGGGGAAGAGAUUACCAAUUCUGAGAAGAAAAAAGAAUACUCAAUGGCAGUGGAAAAUAACAGGUGAUAAAAAUCUGUCAAAGAGUAGAUCAUCAAGAACACAAAUUAGGAGAUUGUCAAUUUUGGAUUUUAAGCGGUAUAGAGGGGCAGCUUACAAGCUCUAAGAUUAAUUGAAUAUUGUUGCUUCAGAUAGAGACGGCUAUCGACUCAAAUCAGAUCACUGGGACGAAUUAAGAGAACACCGAUUUUGGUACCUUUGACAGCAGUCUAGUGCGAGAAAACUCCUUCCUCAACAACAGAUAAAGACCACCAAAAGGACAAAUCGUUCACAGCAAAAAAACUAUUAAACAACAGUUGAAGGUGAGCGACAACGAGACGAUCCAGCAGAUCAACGAGAGGAAAGAAGAGAGCAGUUAGAUACCCAGUGAGAGACGAAUAUCGAUAAGAAAAGAUCAUCAACAAAUUGAACAGAGGGCUCACAAGAACGAUUUCAGAUGAAUGCGACUGCGCGUCGAGAAAAUCAGGAUAAACUUACUCACGAGACCAACAUUAACAAGUUUGGAAGAGGCGGGAUCACCUUUAGCAGCAGUUUCCAGAAAAGAGACUGGACCAAUCAGGUAGCUAGAGCUAAGCAGGAGUUUAUAAGAAGAAAAGUAUUAGUCUACUACUAGCUUUAGAAAACAACCCCAAAGCAUCCAGAAGAGAUCAAAUUGCAUCACCAGCAGGGCGUCAACCAUCUUUAACAACGGAUUACAGAAACAAAACUAUUCGGUAUUAGUUUCAAAUAGAUCACUAACGAGAGGGCAGAAUCAAACUGAAGAUGAAAAGACGAAACAAAUCCCGAGAAACUAUAUCAUCAAAAAGGCCAACUAAGAGAUCACUUAAAGAUAAACUUUGGCGAAGACAUCGCUGCAACAGAAAUGGCAGUAAUUAAUUUUUCAAAAUUAUUUAGCCUUAUAACUGUUAGUCUCAACUACCAAUUGUACAAGGUUAACGCAAAAAUUUCGGCCUUACAUAGAUGCAGCUCCAGUAUCACGAUAAAACUUCGUCUUCUUUUAAAUAUAUAUCUUCGUAGGCUGCGAAAAGAAAAUUGAAGUCUUGGAUCAAAUAGUUUUUUAUUGACAGCAUUUUAAACAAGACGUGUCCGAAAAAAUGUCGCAAAUAACGCAAAUUGAGUAUAGAGCAGUCAUAAAGUUUUUGACAAAAGAAGAGUUAGCACCUAAAAUUAUUAAAGAAAGUUCUCCUUCGUAUUCUGUAGUGAAAGAAUGGACAAAACGUUUUCCAAUGGGGCAGGAGAGUCUCUUGAAGAUGAUUCAAGAACUGGUCGACCAGUAGACGUCAUAACGGAAGAUAUUGUUGCCAUUGUGGAAGAGGUGGUAUUGACUGAUCGACGUUUAAAGGUCAAGAAAAUCUCGGAAAUUACUAAGCUUUCUGAUAACAAGUGUUCUUCGAAUCCUGCAUGAUCAUUUAGGUAUGCAUGAGUGCAAGAUGGGUUCCUAAAAACCUUUCGGCUACUCAAAAACAACGCCGUGUCGAGUGUGCGCGGCCUUUUUUGCAACUCUGUGGGUCGGAACCGAAGCGUGUGAUAGAAACUAUUGUUAUGGGAGAUGAAACUAUGGUUCUCUAUUAUGACCCUCUAUCGAAAAAAGAAUCAAUGGAGUAGCGUCGUAAGGGUAAAGCACAUCCAAGAAAAUUCAGAGUCUGCCAGUCAACAAAAAAGGUGGUGGCCGCGAUCUUUUGGGAUUGUGAAGGAAUUCUUUUGAUAGAUUUUAAAGAAACUAAUACCACUAUCAAUGGUAAAUAUUACGCAACAUUAUUACAUAAAUUGCGAGACUGCGUACGAGGAAAACUGUCCAUACUGCUGGUGUUGGACAAGCUGCCAUUUUAGAGUAUGGGUUCCAACAUCUUUCCUAUACUCCAGAUAUGGCCCCCAGCGACUAUUGUUUGGAUAUUUUUAAAAGGACUUGCGUGGACGGCGGUUUAACGACGAAGUUGAGUUAAAAGAGGCUGUUUUAGCUCACUUUGCAGACAGGAAAAAAAUGUUUUUUGAAGGGAUUGAGUUGUUAAUAAAGAGAUGUAAUAAGUGUAUUGAAAAUUAAUAAAAAAUUGUUACUCUACUUUGUUUCUUUCUGUAGUCUUUAUGAAAUAAAUACUACUUGUUUUUAAUACAUUUAAUAGUUCGAUCUAAACAUUACAUGCACGGCGAAGAGAAGAGUUGUACCGUUACAUUCAAAGCUUUUUAGUAACUGAAUGACCCAAGCCUAACUUUGUCCUUUCGUGGGACUCUAAAAGUAAUAUAAGACUAAUAGUGUUUACAAUAUGGGAACACGGGGUUGAGUCCCCGAUAAAGGACGCCUCGACCUAUUUGUGGGAAUCUUCUUUUUCCAAUAUGAAGUUUAUUAAGAAUAAAUAUCGCAAUCGACUUACAGAUGAACAUUUGGAUAAUUGUAUUGGAACGGCUGUACCAAAUUUUACUGCAACCAUUAAAAAAAUUAUCGAUGAGUCUGACUGUCGGCCUUCUCAUUGAACGUGCUUUUUUAUUUCUCAAUGUUUAUGUUCAUGAUAGUACGUUACUUUUUGUUGUUAUUAUUAACUAUUUUUAAAUCUUACGUGACAUGCCGUUGUGACUGGAUAAAAAUUUGUGUUUAUUUUUAAAACACCUGUUCGGUUAUCUUUUGAACGGAUUAUCAUUGAACAUACAAUGCAACAAGAUUAUUGUUAUUAAUUAAGGUAAUAAUCUUGUUGCAUUGUAUGUUAAUGACCCCCCUUGGAUAAUCCUUUCAAAAUCAAUUUGUCACUUUCAUAUAUCUAUGAACAGACCAUAGGAAUGUAGCUAUGAACAAGUACGUACUAGUAAUAUUAGUUAUUUUGUUAUUAGUUUAUUAUUAGUACCUAUGUAUUAUGUGUUACCAAUUCAAGUUAAAUAGUAAAAUAAAUACUAUAAUGAUAAAUUAACUGUGGAUUAUUUCAUUUACGUUGCGUUACGUGGCUUCCGUGUGGGUAGCUCACUGUUUAUUGCAAAAUUAACAAAGUAGCUCAACACAUUGAAGAGGUUGGCGACCACUGGUCUAACGAAACAAAUCCCGAGAAAACUAUAUCAUCAACAACGCCAAUAAACAGAUCACUUGAAGAUGAAAAGGUCGAACGAAACAAAUCCCAAGAAGACUAUACCAACAAACAGGCCAAUUAAAAGAUACCCGAUUUAAAAUCUUGUGCGGGACGUGACAGGAACCCCUAUCGCCUUUGACAUCAGUUCACGAAACGAAGACUUUUAUGAAGACUAUCAUAGAGGACAGAAAGAAAAAA